rnacentral:rRNA from 1 species
UACGAAGGGGGCUAGCGUUGCUCGGAAUCACUGGGCGUAAAGCGCACGUAGGCGGACUCUUAAGUCGGUGGUGAAAUCCUGGAGCUCAACUCCAGAACUGCCUUCGAUACUGAGAGUCUCGAGUCCGAGAGAGGUGAGUGGAACUGCGAGUGUAGAGGUGAAAUUCGUAGAUAUUCGCAAGGACACCAGUGGCGAAGGCGGCUCACUGGCUCGGUACUGACGCUGAGGUGCGAAAGCGUGGGGAGCAAACAGG